rnacentral:rRNA from 1 species
GACGAACGCUGGCGGCGUGCCUAAUACAUGCAAGUAGAACGCUGAAGGAGGAGCUUGCUUCUCUGGAUGAGUUGCGAACGGGUGAGUAACGCGUAGGUAACCUGCCUGGUAGCGGGGGAUAACUAUUGGAAACGAUAGCUAAUACCGCAUAAUAGUAGAUGUUGCAUGACAUUUGCUUAAAAGGUGCAAUUGCAUCACUACCAGAUGGACCUGCGUUGUAUUAGCUAGUUGGUGGGGUAACGGCUCACCAAGGCGACGAUACAUAGCCGACCUGAGAGGGUGAUCGGCCACACUGGUACUGAGACACGGCCCAGACUCCUACGGGAGGCAGCAGUAGGGGAUCUUCGGCAAUGGACGGAAGUCUGACCGAGCAACGCCGCGUGAGUGAAGAAGGUUUUCGGAUCGUAAAGCUCUGUUGUAAGAGAAGAACGAGUGUGAGAGUGGAAAGUUCACACUGUGACGGUAUCUUACCAGAAAGGGACGGCUAACUACGUG